rnacentral:tRNA from 1 species
GGGGUUGUGGCUUAGCGGUAGAGCGCUUGCCUAGCAUGUGUGAGGCCCUGGGUUCGAUCCCUAGCACCUCA